AGCAGCCGCGGUAAUUCCAGCUCCAAUAGCGUAUAUUAAAGUUGCUGCAGUUAAAAAGCUCGUAGUUGAAUUUCGGGACUAAUAUGUCGGUCGUGCCUCGGUACGUACUGGUAUUUUUGGUUUCUCCCUUCUGACGAACCUUGAUGUCAUUAAUUUGGUGUCUUGGGAAAUCAGGACUGUUACUUUGAAAAAAUUUAGAGUGUUUAAAGCAAGCUAACGCUUGAAUACAUUAGCAUGGAAUAAUGAAAUAGGACGUUCGAUCCUAUUUUGUUGGUUUCUAGGAUUGACGUAAUGAUUAAUAGGGAUAGUUGGGGGCAUUAGUAUUCAAUUGUCAGAGGUGAAAUCCUUGGAUUUAUUGAAGACUAACUACUGCGAAAGCAUUUGCCAAGGAUGUUUUCAUUAAUCAAGAACGAAAGUUAGGGGAUCGAAGACGAUCAGAUACCGUCGUAGUCUUAACCAUAAACUAUGCCGACUAGGUAUCGGAUGAUGUUAAUUUUUUAAUGACUCAUUCGGCGCCUUA
rnacentral:rRNA from 1 species